rnacentral:rRNA from 1 species
UGUCCGAAAGGGCACGUGCUGGGCAGCGACGCACCACGGGGUAAGAGCUGAACGCAUCUAAGCUCGAAACCCACCUGAAAAAGAGAUACCACCGAGGCCACUCGUAGAAGACGAGAUCGAUAGACUCGGGGUGUGCGCACCAAGGCAACGAGGUGUUGAGCCCGCGAGAACUAA